rnacentral:lncRNA from 1 species
AACAGUUUUUCAACUGUGAGUCUGAAGCUGGAGGUCAAGACUGAAGGUGUGACUCUGGGACUCUCCCUGGACAAACCCAUCUUUCAAGCUGCCUGCCUUAGAAUAACAUCAAGACAAGGUUGGGAAGAAAUUCUCCAUUCAUUCUGGUGGACAGAGUGAUUUUGGAAAAGAAUUUCUCAUUCCAAGAGUUUCUACGGACUCUUCAACUGGAUUUCUGCUGCUUGACCCACCAAGGACUCUGUGAAUAUUGUUCAGGAGUGUUGGACUUCCCUUCCCUACCUGAAAAGCUAUCAGAAGCAGCUUCAGAUAAUUUGACUAAUAUCCAUUCACUUGUGCUCAAAGGAAUUUGGAAGAGUUCAAAUGAGAGCAGAUUAUUUAGGAAGAAUGAUCUGUACAGUUUAACAAAUCCAGAUUAUAAGGAACUUCCAAAGAAAAAAUGUUUCAAGGCAUCUAAUUAUGAUGGGAGAAGAUUCAUUCAAAUGAAAAGAACACUGAUCUGA